rnacentral:rRNA from 1 species
UAGGGAAUCUUCCACAAUGGACGAAAGUCUGAUGGAGCAACGCCGCGUGAGUGAAGAAGGUUUUCGGAUCGUAAAGCUCUGUUGUUGGUGAAGAAGGAUAGAGGCAGUAACUGGUCUUUAUUGACGGUAAUCAACCAGAAGUCACGGCUAACUACGUGCCAC